UCGAGUUACCGCUCCUUAUAACCCUUUGUGAACAUACCCCAAACGUUGCCUCGGCGGGCAGCCGGAGCCCAGCUCCGGCGCCCGGAGCCGCCGUCUCGGUGCGCCCCACCCGCCGGAGGACCACUAAACUCUAUUUAAACGACGUCUCUUCUGAGUGGCACAAGCAAAUAAUCA
rnacentral:misc_RNA from 1 species